rnacentral:lncRNA from 1 species
AGAUUCUAUACUUCAAAUGACAACUUCCAAAGUUAAGUGGACCCUAUUACAUUUCUCUAUCAUGGAUAACAGGAUGAAGCUAUGAGUAAUGUGUCUACAAUUCCACAGUCACCCCACAGAUGAAGCAUGGGAAACUUUCCUUUGGUUGACUGAAGAGAUCCUUCAGCAAGGGAGGCAUCCAUCUAUCUAUGAGGAAAGAAGCAUCCAGUAAUAGAAGCUGCCUGUUAAGUACAAGAUAUUGGCUGCAUAGACACUAGUAUGUCUAAUAAAAGGUAUGGGUAGAGAUGUAAUACA